rnacentral:sRNA from 2 species
AACCGCAGCAUUGGGGAGUAGCCGCCUGCCACCCAAUAAAAGGCAGGGCGCAUAUCAACAUACUUGGCAGCCUCGGCCGCCAUGGUAUGCGCAGAUUUCGAAGAUCC